CUCCUGUUAAGAACAGACUCCUGGCUCGUGCGCCUUCGUGUCACCUCCUGUCCUGGAAGCCCUUGGUUCAGGGGAAGCAAGCUGCCAUUUUGUGAGCUGUUCUGUGGAGAGGUCCACAUGGCAAGAAACUGAUGUCUCUGGCUCAUGGUUAUUGAAGACCUGAGGUCGGCCAACGACCAGGGAUGAAAUGCUAAGCACCGUGGUGAGAUCACAGCAGCCAGUCUACAUGCUACCACUUCAUCUCCUUUGUUCCAGCCAUUCAGUCCCAUCAACCAGCAAACAGAUGUCCUCAAUCACAACUUUCUAAAUCUUAAUUCCAAACAAAUCUCCUCUUCCUGAGAUUUGAAUUUUAGUUCAAAUUGCAAUGGCCUUUUUAGGUUUAUUUUUCUAUUAUAAACAAACUCCUAUAUUUUUGAAGUUAGACAAUUUGAAAGGUGCCUCUCGAUAAACAAGCCAACAAAUAGACCACCGUUAAGAAGAAACUUUUCUCAUGAGGAACAAGGAGGAGAUGUCUGUGGCAACUGGAAUGGGAUUGUCAUAGCCCCCAGGAGUUACGGUUGAGGAAGGAAACACAUCUUAGAAUAGUAGGUGUAUCUUUGACAUAGCUGUAAGCUAUGCUGUGGUUUUACUAACAUGAUAGGUGAAAUACAAUUCAAUUGUAUAAGGCCCCCAAACAAAGAUUUAUUUAUAUUUAGCUUUGCCUUUGAAACCGCCCACUGGUCUGGCCUUUGUAAAAGGCAGACCUAACCUAUUCGUUUUCCACUUCCCCUCCUCAAUCCUUAUUGAGACAAAUAAAUAAAAAUAAAACUGGUAAGCCAGAUCCAAAGGCUGGAUGUAGCUGUGAUUUAGACUUGGCCUUUGGAAGAGACAUUAGGAUUUUAAGGUCAGGAGGCAUCAGUUAGUACCAUGAGGCAAAUGUACUAAGAGGAGGCUAAUGGGGUAAAGGAGCUAAUGACGCUUCCAAGGGUACAUGCCGUUCACUCCAGGAUGGGCAUCUACAGGGGGAGGAGAUGGCUAAUUUUAGCUGAAACUUUCUUCAUUUAUGUUAUAAGCCUUCCUUUUUUAAAUUUUAAAAGCAUGUAUUUAUAAUCAAGUAUUAACUUCGCCCAAGGAACUAAAAAUAGUAGGGGAACCAAGAAAGUAAACAUAUGUCAAGGCCAUCUUUAUUAAGAAACUCUUUGGGAGACCAAAAUUGCUUUCCAAUGGCUCAUCUCAAAUUCAAUGUCUUAUUUAACCUCAGCUUCUGCAGCUUAAUUUUCCUGCCACUGGAGUCUUCUGUUUCCUUAGUGAGUAGCCAUGCUAGAGUUCCUUGGGAGCAGUCACUCAAGAAACGGUCCUCAAAGGCAGAGGAAAGAAGGAUGUCAGAGACUAUGUGAAUGUUAUGUCAACGGGAGAAA